AAGAAGCAUCCUGUUGCCAUGGGCUACAGGGUUCAGGGUUCAACGUGGGUAAGACACGCAGAGAAGGAGAGAGGACCAGACAAACAGGGCGAGCUGGGUAAGCUUCGUAGCGAACACAUUAUUUCUCACCACGAGCAAUCAUGACCUAGAUGUUUGACGAUUGGUCAAUCUUGGUCAAUAAAUGAAAUCUGUGGAAUGAAGCACACAGGCUUACCUGGGCUGGACAAAGAUUCCAGACUGCCUCCUAUGCUCUCACUGUCACUGUAGCCCUUUCGUUUAACUAGACUUUCUUCAGGCAGGGAGAAGGAGUCUUGCAGAGAGCUGGGGUUGCUGGUCUUACGACGGCCACUUGGAGGUGCCACACACAGAUUUGGAAACACACGCACACACACACGCAGGCCAGCAGGUCCUUGGCGUAGCGGCACCACAUCUUGGCAUACUGCAGGGCCAGCUCCACGCCUCCCUCACAGCGACACAGAGCCAGGUCUGCUUCCUGGGCUGAGAGUCCUCACCUGGGAUUUGAACUCACAACCUCACGGUUCACAGCAUUCAGAUCUUCCUGCUACGCCACCAUGUUUGUGUCAAUGACUAGUUUCACCUCUAUUCUUAUACUUUUGACUUAAUAGUAAAUCUCAGCUUUGUAUAAUACACUCAAGAAAACUAUUAUAUGUAUCCUAGUUAUUCAUUCAGGAGUAAUAUCAAAACAGAAUUACAUGCCUCACCAACAUUAGACAACUAUACAGAAAACCCUCAAAUUACUGAAAUAAAUCAAUGGAACCAAUGAGAGAAUAGUCAGAUUACCCGAUGUAAACAAAGCAGUGCAGAGAGGUAUUAUAUGUAAUGAACGUGUAGGGGACUUCUGAGAAGUCUGCGCAGCAGAAAGAUAAGCGCACUUCAAAUCCCAGGUGGCAUCAUAUUGUCCUAAUAUUUAUAUAUUUCUUAAGUCCCAUUCUUUGACUUUUAGAUGUGUGCAUUGUUGUGAAAACGUAGAUACUACUGCACUGUUGAAGCUAGGAAUAACACCCGCAAUAACAUCUGCUAAAUAUGUGUACGUGACCAAUAAAAUUGGAUUUGAUGUCUAAGGUAAUCAUGUUUAAUUACACUAUUUUAGCUGAUCAGCGUACCAGUUACCUUAAAACGCCUAUACCAUUUCAUUACUUCCUUGAACGUUUUUCACAUGUUGAGCUGAAAUUCUCACGUGUGAAGACAAGACACACAAAUGAGGUCAGUUGUUCACAUGUGUACACCAUCUUUUCACAUGUGGAAUUUGCAGUGGCGCAUGUUAGAACCUAACUCUCACAUGUGGAAUUGCAUUUUCAAAUGUGUAAAAAUCGAAUUUGCACUUUCACAGGAAAAACUUCAAAAUGUUGUCACGUGUAUUUUCAUGGUAUCACCUGUUGAAAUGUUGGAUUCCCAUGUUAUCACAUUUAUUUCACAUGUGCUUAAAUGUUUUCACAUGUGUAGUUUCAUGCUAUCACAUGCUUCUUUAACAUGUCACAUGUAAUCAUAUUAACUUCACAUGAGAUCACAUGUGAAAUUGAUGUUGUUUUUUCCGUAAGGGAUCACCCCCUCACUUUUUCCCCCAUCCCUCUCUACCUCCCCUAUACCUCCCUUUCUCCCUCACAUUUCUCCCUUCCUCGACCUCUAUGUCCUUCUCUCCCCCUCUCUCAUCCCUUCCUUCCCCUCUUCCUCCCUCCCUCUCUCUCUCUCUUUCCUGUUUGAUGGAUAUGUCUGAGUGGUAAACUAGAGAGCAUCUGUCUGCAGCUCUAAUCCUCUCUCCCUCCCCACCCUCUCCAGUCUUCUCCUAAUCUCGUUAACACAGUCAAUUAGCGCAACCGGCUAAUUAAAGGUCAACAAGACAGGUUGAAUAGUUGGAGAUUAACCACCGUGACUGGCUGUCACCCCACUAGUCCCGCCCACAUCACAUCCCACCUGGAUUGGCUGUCUAUUAGUGUCAGUCACCAGUGUUUCCAGAAGAGAAUGGCUUGGACUCUUGCAUCCCUUUCACAUAAAGACCAAAACCACACAAAUUUACUAUGCCUGCAUUUUUAUACCAGAUUUUUUGUAUUUCUGAAAAGCAUAGGGGGUAGAAAAACAUGGAACAAUAAAACCCACCUAAACACCUAGUCAUGAUUCCUGUAUUUAUACUGACCCUGUAACCCAAAUACAGGUAUUGGGUCUGUGUGAAUGGUUCUCAGAUUUUUUUGCAGGUAAAUUCAUUAACACUUCCAUUGUUUAACACAUCCUUAAUUUGAAAUGCAAACAGCCCCCAUGGUUCAACAACAACCCCCAACCCUCGGAAUUUGCCAAUUACCCACUGAUAUGUAUAAAAGGGGUAUACCUGCAAACAACUGGUAAUAAGGGUCUGUUUGAAAUAAAUAUUGCCUUACAGUGCAUUCAGACCCCUUGACCUUAUCCACAUUUUGUCACGCUACAGCUUUAUUCUAAAAUUAAUUAAAUAAAUCCUCAAUCUACACA